rnacentral:rRNA from 1 species
UACAGAGGGUGCAAGCGUUAAUCGGAAUUACUGGGCGUAAAGCGUGCGUAGACGGUUGCGUAAGUCAGAUGUGAAAGCCCCGGGCUCAACCUGGGAAUUGCAUUUGAGACUGCGUAGCUAGGGUGCGGAAGAGGGAAGCGGAAUUUCCGGUGUAGCGGUGAAAUGCGUAGAUAUCGGGAGGAAGGCCGGUGGCGAAGGCGGCGCUCUGGAACGUUUCUGACACUGAGGCUCGAAAGCGUGGGGAGCAAACAGG